GUCCGCCAGAAAAUUACGAGCGAAAGCCUAAAACUCAAAAGACUUGACGGUGUCCCAACCUACCUAGAGGAGCCUGUUCCAUAAUCGAUAACCCCCGAUAAACCUAACCACCUCUUGAAAUAUCAGCCUAUAUACCGCCGUCGACAGCCCACCUUCUAAAAGAAACAAAGCAGGCUAAAUAGAAUUUCUCUAAAAAGUCAGGUCAAGGUGUAGCUAAUGGGGUGGAGACAAUGGGCUACAUUUUUUAAAAUAAAACAUACGAAUUAGUAUUUUGAAACAAGACUAUAAAGGUGGAUUUAGCAGUAAGUCAAAAAAUAAUACUGA
rnacentral:rRNA from 1 species